rnacentral:rRNA from 1 species
GACGAACGCUGGCGGCGUGCUUAACACAUGCAAGUCGAACGGAAAGGCCCUGCUUUUGUGGGGUGCUCGAGUGGCGAACGGGUGAGUAACACGUGAGUAACCUGCCCUUGACUUUGGGAUAACUUCAGGAAACUGGGGCUAAUACCGGAUAGGAGCUCCUGCUGCAUGGUGGGGGUUGGAAAGUUUCGGCGGUUGGGGAUGGACUCGCGGCUUAUCAGCUUGCUGGUGGGGUAGUGGCUUACCAAGGCUUUGACGGGUAGCCGGCCUGAGAGGGUGACCGGCCACAGUGGGACUGGGGUACGACCCAGACUCCUACGGGGGGCAGCGGUGGAGACUAUUGCACACUGGGCGGAAGCCGGGUGCAGCAACGCCGCGUGCGGGAUGACGGCCUUCGGGUUGUAAACCGCUUUCGCCUGUGACGAAGCGUGAGUGACGGUAAUGGGUAAAGAGGCACCGGCUAACUACGU